rnacentral:rRNA from 1 species
UACGUAGGGGGGCUAGCGUUGUCCGGAAUCAUUGGGCGUAAAGAGCGUGUAGGCGGCCCGGUAAGUCCGCUGUAAAAGUCAAAGGCUCAACCUUUGAAUGUCAGUGGAUACUGCCGGGCUAGAGUCCGGAAGAGGCGAGUGGAACUCCUGGUGUAGCGGUGGAAUGCGCAGAUAUCAGGAAGAACACCAAUGGCGAAGGCAGCUCUCUGGGACGGUACUGACGCUGAGACGCGAAAGCGUGGGGAGCGAACAGG